CACGUAGGGCGCAAGCGUUGUCCGGAAUUAUUGGGCGUAAAGAGCUCGUAGGCGGUCUGUUGCGUCCGCUGUGAAAACUCGGGGCUUAACCCCGAGCCUGCAGUGGAUACGGGCAGACUAGAGGUAGGUAGGGGAGAAUGGAAUUCCCGGUGUAGCGGUGAAAUGCGCAGAUAUCGGGAGGAACACCGGUGGCGAAGGCGGUUCUCCGGGCCUUACCUGACGCUGAGGAGCGAAAGCGUGGGGAGCGAACAGG
rnacentral:rRNA from 1 species